CACGAAGCCAGAUGAGCUAAUUUUAUAUGCUAAUAGGCUUACGCGUGUAGCAUCACGUAAACAAUAUAAAAUUAGGGGUGAUAGGCCAUCAAAUCUGGAGAUAUCUUGAUACUUUUGAAAUGCACUAGUACAAAAGCGGCUUAAGAGUGAUAAGGCUAUUAAGAGAAACUAAACAUUAUAACUAAAGUUCCCUAAGUUUAAUCGUUCGGGUAUUAUUAAAUUACAAUUUAUUUAUUUUGUUUGUUUUAAAUAAAAAGUUAUAACUAAUCAAUCAAUUAAUUUAUUUAUAAUGUUAAUAUUAGUAAAGCAUUAGAUACCAUUUAUGAACUCGGCAACAUUUCCUUCAGCUGUUUAUCAAAAACAUCGCCAAUAGUAAAUACUAUUGGUCCUUUCUGCUCAAUGAAAUUUAAAUAGCCGCAGUACCCUGACUGUGCAAAGGUAGCGUAAUCAUUUGACUUAUAAUUGAAGUCCUGUAUAAAUGAAAAUAUGGGGGAAAACUAUAUUUUUGCUACGUUCCGAACUUAUUAAGUAAGUGAGAAUACUUAUUUAAAUAUAAUAGACGAGAAGACCCUAGAAAUUUUAAAAAUGUGUCAGCGAGUUUUUUUGUUGGGGCAACAGUGUAACAAGUAAUUUACAUAAUAAACAAGAAAUAGUAUAGUUAGAUAAAAUUACUCUAGGGAUAACAGCGUAAUAUUUGAAUGUUUGCGACCUCGAUGUUGGACUAGAGAACGACUGCUUAGAA
rnacentral:rRNA from 1 species